UUCUUUGGGGGGAGGCGGGACUGGUGGCUAACAGAAGUGGCUUCCCACUGUCCCUCAUCCCUGCUGCUCCUGGGAAGCUAGGCUGAGGGGUGGGGUCAGCACUGAGGGGCUGGAGCUAGGCUGAGGGGGUG